AACAUUCGAGGCUAAUAUCUACGACUACUAAGUAUAUCGACUAGCAAAUAUACAAAUUCCCUUAAUACAAUUAUACAAUCCAAAUUAUCCCUAAUACUUCUCAUCUCUUCUUGGAUCCCUGGCACGUACUGGACAUGGCUGAGGCGGUUGGGUAGCGGCCAUGGCGCGGGUCAUCAGCUACGCACAUCAUGUUCUUUGGCAUCUCACGUCUGCUGGGUGAGCUCAGGGACAGCAAACGCACGAGAUUGCUGAGAGCCAAGAGAAGUGAAAGGGGCAAGCGUGACUAUGAAAGAGUGCGGUUGGGGGAAGGGGACGAGCUCGACGGAGAUUGGUAAACAAAAAAGUAUAUUGGAAAUUAGGAUUAAUCAAGUAAAUAUCUUGUAAAAAACCUCGUGUUAUUUUCUCGGUUGUGUUCUGUUAUUCAUUUGUUGGCCGCCACAUUUUUGUAUGAUGUUAUUUUGUUUGUUGGCCACCAGAUUUUUGUUCCUUUUUCUUUCUCACUUAGAAAAUGGCCACUGCAUGCAUAUGUAUACAUGCUUUCAGAUAAUACUACCGAGUAUCAGAGUUGAAUUUUUUCCUCUCAUAACAUAUUCCUUUAUUUAAAGAGAAUGUGGCAUUGUAAGGUUCUUCCAUAGUCUCCGAGACCUUCGAGGAUGGGAACACUGAGGAGGUGAAGUAUCUCUUUUCUCACCCUUCUUCGUUCUAUGUCUAUAAUCUAUGCACUCUCUCUCUUUAUUCAUUCGAAGAUGGAUCUUCGUCUCGGUCAUGAGCUUUAGACCCUAUAACGAGCUCAGGCUCCCUCCGUUCUCGGCUCCCUCCUGCAAUGAAGAUUGGAGAUGUGAAGCUCGCGCUCAGACCAAUCCCAUGUCUGAGAUCCAAAUGAAGAAGUGGGGAGAUGGGAAGAGAGAAAGAAAAUGUGUUUGUGUUGUGCAGAGUUGGAGGGGGCCGACUGAGGGCGAUGACGGCGGGGAGGAGGUUAGCCUUUGGACGCCCAUGUGCCAUCGGAAGCCCGACUGCCGGCGGGGACAGGGUGGGACUAGCUGAUGCAGAAGAGUGAGAAGGGCAAAGGAAUAGAGAGGGAAAUGGGGCAGAUUUGCAAAUAUAGAAAAAAAGUGAGUAAACUAGCAAAUUGGUUCUCAAGAGAUUGAGUUUGUCAAAAAUGCACCUCGACCCAUUCGAGGAAGGGGAUGGAUCUGCGGUGGGGGCAACCCGUUCGGCACCGCCCCUAGGCGGCCUCACCGCAAGCGUUGGAAGCUCCCGGCGAGGUCGACUUGUGAGGCAGCGGCCAGGCGAAGGAAAAUAUAAGCCAUUGGUGGUCUCCUCAUGGAAGAAGUCGGUCAUGGAAACCGUGUCCGGUAAAUUAGUGUCGCACCGAUUUUGAUUCGGAGAGAGAAAAUGGGGGCAGAAUAGAUCAGAGGUGUGGCACCAACACUGGCAACUGCCAACCUUGCCGGAUGCAUGGGAAACCUCAGGCGAGGUUGCCUGGGGGCCGGUUGCGAGGUACGCGUCAAGGUGAAAGAUGCAAGCAUAACAACAGUUUUAGCGGGUAAUUACUUAUUUUAUUCGGGCACUCACAUAGUUAUUUAUUAUACAGAGGACUAAUUACAAAAAAUAAAACAAGGACUAUUUACAAUUAACUCCCUAAUCUAUCUUUAUUUGAUAUAUUUAACGUAGGUACUGACAACCUAUUCUCUUGUUAUGUUGAAUUUUAUUGAGCAAGGUUUGACUGUGAAUUGAUGGCGUGCAUGGAGACGACGUUAUGUUGCAUGAAGAACAUGGAGAAAUUCAUUGGAUCUGAAUCUGAAUGUUUAUUUUGCAGCAGCAACUCAAUUAGUCCAUUUAAUGAAUGUUUAUCGAUUAUAUAUGUGCAAGUAUUAUUGACAAAUGACGAUUUUAUUUGCCUUAGAUUUGUUUUCUAUAAGACCAUUUGCACUUCUAUUUAGCAUUUCGUUUUUAAAUGUAAA